UGAUGCCUAAUUUUCUUGACAGGUCAACCGAUGUGGAAAAAAAUUCAGGAGGAAAAUGAAUUGAGCUGCUGACAUUGGCCUAUUCUGGAAUACAUCAGUUUGCAUCAUAAUCAGAAAGUGAUUUUCGUCAUAGUAGUCAUAGCGUAGUAAGGAUUCACUAUGGAGGUCCCUUACAAGUUAGAAGUGAUUGCUUUGACUACAAUCAUCAUUAAACUGGGUGUCUCAGUUUUCCCAUAUUCUGGCAAAAAUCAACCUCCAAAAUUUGGAGAUUAUGAAGCUCAAAGACAUUGGAUGGAAAUUACGGUUAACUUACCCAUACAGGAUUGGUAUAGAAAUACAACAGACAAUGAUUUAUUGUACUGGGGACUGGAUUACCCUCCUCUCACAGCAUAUCAAAGCUACCUAACUGGAUCGGUGGCUAAGAAAAUCAACCAAGACUAUGUAAAACUCCAUGUGUCUCAGGGAUUUGAAAACUUUGACCACCAAUAUUUCAUGAGGAUGUCCGUCCUUGUGUCUGAUUGUAUUUUCUUUGUCAGUGCACUUUAUUUUUACAUUAGAAGCUUGAAGAUGAGUAAUAAGUACAAAUGGGUUUUCUUUGCUUUGUCCUCACACUCUGGACUCACCCUUAUAGAUUAUGGUCAUUUUCAGUACAAUUGUGUUUCGUUGGGGUUGACCUUGUGGGCAAUCAUUUUUGUUUCUCAGGGAAAGAAUGUGUUAGCAGCUAUUGCCUUUUCAGCUGCCUUAAACUUUAAGCAGAUGGAGUUGUAUCAUGCAAUACUUCUAUUUGCUGGCUUCUAUUUGCUGGCUUCCUGUCAACCUAAAGGUUCCUCACUUCCCUCCCAACUAAAGAAUUUGGUCCAGAUUGGCGCUGCCACAGUGGCGACCUUUGCAAUCAUUUGCGUGGAAUCUUUGAAGACUAUGUCGCCAAUUUUUGGUGCACGCUAAAUGUUGUGAUCAAAAUCAAACGACUAUUAAACCCAACCUCAAUCGCCUCGGGAACUAUCACCUAGGCCAUGCCCGUGCCUGAAAGAAAAGUCAGGACGUUGAUUCGAACGGAUUCGAAUGCAACGAGCACUAAGUACGGUCACAUUAUUGGAGGAAUGACCGUGUGCUUGGUUCGUGAUUUGGAGUCACAAGUGAUAGCUGCAAGCUGAUAUCACUCGAACCACUGCACCAACCCGACUAAGCAUGAUCGAAAAAAGCUACAGCUCAUUAUGGCGUCAGUUUAGCUUUAAUGCUAAAUUUCGCAAACACGGUGAACUAGAUUGACAAUAAUAAAAAAUGAACUUUA